rnacentral:rRNA from 1 species
GGGGGGCACCCGAAGUCGCCGAGCUAACUCGCAAGAGAGGCAAGCGCCGAAGGUGACCUUCGCGAUUGGGUGAAGUCGUAACAAGGUAGCCGUAGGUGAACCUGCAGAAGGAUCA